CAUACACAUAUUACAGAUGACAUCAAUACCCAUGGGAUUACAGAUUUCCUAUGGAAGAAUGAUGACCUCAGGAAGUAUGGUGAGUAAUAUCUUACAUACAUGUUUGUUUUUAUAUCCAUGUGGGGACUAAAUAAUGAUGACUUAUUUUCCCUGUCCUCUAACCCCAAAAUCAUCCUAACUCUGAUCUCCACCUAGAAUAUUAUGUUACUGUAUGACUCAACUCAAAUUGUACAUUUUACCGUAAACCUAACCUCUUACUGUAUGACUUAACUCCAAUUAGAGGUUUCACUGUAAACCU
ensembl:lncRNA